rnacentral:rRNA from 1 species
UUGCUAUCAGGGUUUGACUAAGCCAUGCGAGUCGAGAGGUGUAAGACCUCGGCAUACUGCUCAGUAACACGUGGUUAACCUGCCCUAAGGUGGAGAAUACUCCCGGGAAACUGGGGCUAAUGCUCCAUAGUGGAUAUGUCCUGGAAUGGUAUAUCCUCGAAAGAUCCGUCGCCUUAGGAUGGGACUGCGUCCGAUUAGGUUGUUGGCGGGGUAACGGCCCACCAAGCCUUUUAUCGGUACGGGUUGUGGGAGCAAGAUCCCGGAGAUGGAUUCUGAGACAUGAAUCCAGGCCCUACGGGGCGCAGCAGGCGCGCAAACUUUACAAUGCGAGCAAUCGUGAUAAGGAAACCCUGAGUGCCUGUCGAUGCAGGCUGUUCAUAUAUCUAAAUCAUAUGUGAAGAAAGGGCAGGGCAAGACCGGUGCCAGCCGCCGCGGUAAUACCGGCUGCUCGAGUGAUGGCCACUAUUACUGGGUUUAAAGCGUCCGUAGCUUGACUGUUAGGUCUCUUGGGAAAUCUUCGCGCUCAACGUGAAGGCGUCUAAGAGAUACCGGCAGUCUUGGAACUGGGAGAGGUAAACCGUACUUCGGGGGUAGGAGUGAAAUCUUGUAAUCCUCGAGGGACGACCUAUGGCGAAGGCAGUUUACCAGAACAGCUUCGACAGUGAGGGACGAAAGCUGGGGGAGCAAACGGGAUUAGAUACCCCGGUAGUCCCAGCCGUAAACAAUGUGCGUUAGGUGUGUCGGUAACCACGUGUUACUG